rnacentral:lncRNA from 1 species
UUUGAACUCAGGACCUUCGGAAGAGCAGACGGUGCUCUUAACCACUGAGCCAUCUCUCCAGCCCCUCAGCUCCACUUUUGAUGCCAACCGCUCCUAAUACCCUCAUUCUUAGGUGGGGAAAAAUGAUCCCAGCCUCUGUCAUCCUACACUACAAAAGUUAGUGCACGUAAAAACUCAGCACUUUCUCUUCUGGCAACGGAGACUGUGAACACGGAUGAGGGCUUCUGGUUUUUUGUCUAAGGCCCCAGGAAGCAGGCUCUGGCUGCCCUUUGCAGAGCCGGAGAGCAGGGGAAGCAGGGGCGCAGUGUCUGGGUGUCACAGCACGGAAAAAGAUGCUAAGCACACAUUCAGUUCAACUGGGUAUCAGCAUGCUACCUACCACCCUUUCCUGGAGCAAAAGAAACUAAAUUCAUUUUAUUCAAUUCCAUCAGCAGGCAUUUGGCAGACCAGCCUGGGUUCCCGCACCACCUUGUGAUCGGCGAUGAGAAAAGGCGGUCACUGGAGAAGUGUGAUCAAACUAGUCAUCAACAGAGUUCAAGAAGGACGAGAGUGGCUUGGGGUGGUAAUUGCUUGGCACCCCUUUGACUACUUCAACUCCAUAGACACCAGGAAAAGCUGGCCUCUCUCCCUGAUUCCUCCAGACUUCUGUUUGGGAACCCUGACUUUAACUGUGCUUUGCCUCAAUCUAAUGUGUGAUGGAGCGAAUAAAGCCUUUCUUGGCUUUCCCCCUCAUUAAGGACUUGGAAUUUUUCUUGUUUGCUGAGCCAAAAAGGAAGGCAAGGAUUCUUCCAGGAAUCGAGAAAUGACUUCCUGGAUUCUUAAGCAUUCAAAAACAAAAAUCAACAAUGGAAA